CUCGUAUUAUUUUUCACUCUGACUGAGCUACCCGCUUUAACCGGAUCUUGCAAGGAUUUUCAGAAUCUGGAAUAGCUUGCCAAGAAUCUGCCGCUGGUUUAACCCUAGCAUGAUGAAUCCACGGAGUCACUUCUGCCACCUUUACAGCUGUUGGAGUAGAUAAAAGAACAACAUAAGGACCCCUCCACUUUGGACCUAAUGGAACAAUAUACCAUUAUUUUAUCCACACUUGAUCUCCCGGUUGAUAGGAAUGAACAGGUGGAUAUAUGUUCACAGGUAACCUAUCUUGCACCCAUUUCUGUACUUCCUCCAUAGUUUUACCCAACUCUACAACCUGCUGCCGAGUAAUUCCUUCACCCAACUGAUUCAAGUCCCCCCUUAGAUUACUGAGUAUGGGAGGUGGACACCCAUACACGAUUUCAAAGGGAGACAGACCCAUUCUUCUGGUAGGAGUACUACGUAUCCGCAACAGAGAUAUUGGCAAAAGGACAUUCCACUUGAGCUGAGUUUCCUGACACAUUUUAGCCAAUUGGGUUUUUAUUGUUCUGGCCUAGGCCUUCCAGAUGUCAGACUGUACUACAAGGCGGCGAUAGUGGCCCCUGACAUGACAUUACACUCAUCAGGGGAGAGACCACAGUGGGCAGACAUAGAGGCACACUGGGCUGGAAUAUCUUAAUAUCUUAAACAGAUAUUUUGGGUCCCAAGAAAUCAUCUGUCAUUAGCCCAUUCCACCCUCCCAACCACGACUCUAAAUUUCAAAAUGCGGACGAGAUGAGGAGUUCCUCGUGUGUGGUCGGGCCAACACCCCUGGCCAUGCCGUUUCAGAGUGUGGGGAUUUUUGUCCGAACACUGGACCACAAACAAUGGACCGCACACAGUUGCACUCACCUGUGUCAGUUGAUUAAAAAUAACAAAAUACUACCUUUUCCAGCCCUACAGACCCAAUUUAAUCUUCAAAACAAACUAUUAUUCUCAUAUCUCCAAUUGAGGUCAUACAUACUAGAAAAUUGUGACAUACCAACAGAAACUGCACAACUCUCACAAUUCGAGAAGCUGUGCACAAUGCCAACCCGACCUAGGAAAAUGUUAUCAAUAAUGUAUAAUACAAUGCUCAAACUGAACUCACACAAGACUAGGACAUUUAGGGAGGCAUGGCACAGAGAACUUGGAUACACAGUAUCAGAUGAAAGGUGGGAGACAGCAUACAUGGCACACAGAGGUCACACAUCAUGCGCAGCGCACCUAGAACUAAUUAGGAAGAUACAAUACCGAUGGUAUUAUGUACCUGUCGAACUCUCACGCAUGUACCCAAAUGUGUCCAAUAGAUGCUGGAGGUGUGGUACACGUCUGGUGGUCUUGCCCGGCCAUACAACAAUUCUGGAAAAUGGCCAGCACAGAAAUAACUAACAUAACCCAAAUAGAGCAAAGGAACACACCUGAACACUGUAUAUUAUUCAUGUUGCGGACAGGAAUGUCCACACCACUGACUAAACUCAUAUUCCAACUCCUGAUAGCCGCAAAUACGCUGCUUGUGAGGGCAUGGAAAACUAACAAGGUCCCGAGCAGGAGGGUCCUGAAGAAACAGGUUACUCUUAACUGCGACUACGAGCAGAUGUCACACAACUUCCUGGCCCCAAAUCAUACCACCAUGGAGGCCAAAUAUAUAUGGGACACUUAUGUGACGGGCACAGUUACCAUAGGCCCAUCGUGUAAAGGAACGUCCUCCCCUGAGAGGGAGACUUAACUGAACGCACAGAAAAGAAGAGUGCCAUCGGCCCCAUGACAGCUGCACGAAAGUUGGUCUGGGCAACACUAGGAAGCCUAUCCCCUGAACAGGUUGGGUGCAGGGAUAGCCUAGCCAGCCGAAAUGAGGAGUGGAAGGAUGGAGCAGGUAAAAGGCUUAUCAUACGCUAUGAAUGAAACCUUAGCACUGAUUGCAAUCCUGGUCACUUUGGAGGAGACAGGAACACGUUACGAAUCAAUCAUAGAGAUAUACCUGAUAAGCAUUGCACAGUUGAAAGUUGUACCUGCCGAUUUUGUUCCGCUGAUUCUCUGUAACCACUUGUAUUAAGAUGUCGAAUUGAUGUGAUAUAAAAAUUGUCAAAAUUAAAAA